rnacentral:rRNA from 1 species
AACCUCCGCAAUGUGAGAAAUCGCGACGGGGGGAUCCCAAGUGCCAUUCCUAACGGGAUGGCUUUUCAUUAGUGUAAAGAGCUUUUGGAAUAAGGGCUGGGCAAGACCGGUGCCAGCCGCCGCGGUAACACCGGCAGCUCUAGUGGUAGCAGUUUUUAUUGGGCCUAAAGCGUCCGUAGCCGGUUUAAUAAAUCUCUGGUGAAAUCCUGUAGCUUAACUGUGGGAAUUGCUGGAGAUACUAUUAGACUUGAGACCGGGAGAGGUUAGAGGUACUCCCAGGGUAGAGGUGAAAUUCUGUAAUCCUGGGAGGACCGCCUGUUGCGAAGGCGUCUAACUGGAACGGUUCUGACGGUGAGGGACGAAAGUUAGGGGCGCGAACCGGAUUAGAUACCCGGGUAGUCCUAACUGUAAACGAUGCGGACUUGGUGUUGGGGUGGCUUUGAGCUGCUCCAGUGCCGAAGGGAAGCUGUUAAGUCCGCCGCCUGGGAAGUACGGUCGCAAGACUGAAACUUAAAGGAAUU